rnacentral:lncRNA from 1 species
GUCAUUGUGCAUGUUUAAUAAAUCAUGUCAGAGUCAAGACUGUGAAAAAACAACCUUGCAAAGGGUGUUUUAAAACAAACAAUAAACAUUCAUUAAAAUCCCUACAGCACAAAUGCCACCCAAAAGAGGUCGCUUUCAGAGUGCUAUGGACACAAUUUUAACUGUCCUCAAGCGCCAGACUCUGUUUUACACAAUCAUGAUGCCUUCUUGUCCCAGCAUUAUCGGCAAGAUUCGAAGCUGCAGUUCCUCCGCAGUUGGGUUUGGUGGUGGUUACCGGCUGAUAAGUUUCACUGGCUGAGUGUGACCCCUGCUCAGGCUGAACAGUCUAGACAGCAAGUCUCACUGCCAAGCCCAGCA